CUGAAACCCCACCUCUUCAAGGAAUACCUGGGAUAGGAUAAAGUAAUCCUUCUAACCCCCCCCCUUAAAAGACUUAGAUGCACUAUUGUAAAGUGGUUGUUCCACUGGAUAUCAUAAGGUGAAUGCACCAAUUUGUAAGUCGCUCUGGAUAAGAGCGUCUGCUAAAUGACUUAAAUGUAAAUGUUAAUAGACUAACAAGAACAUAGCCCAACAAACCCCGAAACACUCUAAACAAACACCCCCUGCCACGUCCUGACCAACCUACAAUAACAAAUAAUCCCUUAUACUGGUCAGGACGUGACAUGGAAGGUGACUGUAUUUUUAUAAAUUGUUGUAGCGGGUAAAGGGAAGGUGACUGUAUUUUUAUAAAUUGUUGUAGUGGGUAAAGGGAAGGUGACUGUAUUUUUAUAAAUUGUUGAAGCGGGUAAAGGGAAGGUGACUGUAUUUUUAUAAAUUGUUGAAGCGGGUAAAGGGAAGGUGACUGUAUUUUUAUAAAUUGUUGAAG
rnacentral:lncRNA from 1 species